GUUUUCAUUUCGUCAAGUUUUAAAAUAGAUCCUUGCAAAGCACGGGUUCUUGCUAGUUAUGUCACAUAACAGUGCUAAUGUGUUCAUUUAAUUGACUUUAAAUGGAAAAUAAAAGUUUUGAUCAAAAUGGUAACCUGUUGUGCAUUUGGAUAUACAAACAGAAGUUCAAAGAAGACUCCAGGAGUGACUUUUCACAGAUAAUAAUUAAUAAAUUUAACAAUUUGUUCACUCUUGUUAAGGUUAACCUGUAGAUAGAUAGAUAGGCCUAGAUAAAUGUCUUUUAUUCACACUUAGAUUGAUAGAUGAAUAAUUCAAUGGUUCAGUUCAAACAUACAAUACAAAUUAAAUACAAUAAAUAGAAGUCCAUCCAAAUAAUUCAAAAGUAACCCAAUAAAAAAUUCUUAUGCAUGGCCUAAGGUGAAAACAUCUUAAUCUUAUUGUAGGCACUUUUCGAAUAGAUUAAAAAUAAUGAUCACAAAUUCCAUUCCCGAAAAAAAGUUCAGUAAGGAACACUAAGUAUAAUAGUAGAAAGGAACACUAAAAUACUUUUAUCUAGAAUAGUCUGCCAAAAAUUGAAUGUCUGUAACAAUUGUUAUUUGUUGUUUAAUAUACAGAAAUAUAUUCAUGUAAUUGGAUUAAUAUUGUAUGCAAAACUCAUCUACUACUAUAUUCAGCCCAUUAAGAAAUAUUAAGUUCUGUGUUACAGUAUUGGUACUAUAUCAUUGAUAGUUAUAUUAUUUCUACUAAAUUCCCAUUCUCUGUUUAUCAAUCAUUUUUGACAUGAUUUUACCAAUAAUAUCUAUUCAGAGAAUCAGGUUAUUCACUGUGCAUGAAUUUAGUCUGACAUUACAGAGAGCUUCAGUAUCUAGUUAUAGCAUUAUAGAAAACGAAUGAUAAACAUAAUGGGCUGAAUAAACAGUAAUCAACUGAAAAGUGAAAGCUUUGUUUCAAGUGGAGCCAUUGGCAUGUUGAGAGGUAAUUUUAUAUGGAGUAUUGUGGUAGCACUGUGUGCGUAUACUAGCGCUUGAUGUGCCUGGAAAAAGAGUUGCUAUGGCGUUCAUGUGUUGUGAUUGUUUUCUUCUCAGUUGUGGUCCAAUAAAAUAUAAAGUGAAA